UGUGACUGUCUGGACACAGUAGCCUAGUGGUUAACGCGGUGGCGUUUGACACGAAGCUGACUGAGUUCGAAUCCCAGUGUGAACAU
rnacentral:precursor_RNA from 1 species